ensembl:lncRNA
AUUUUUUACAGACGCCAUUUUCUUUGCUCGCGAUGCGCGCAUAUGAGGACGGAAUUCGGCGAAAUAUAUUGUAUAAUCUUACUCAUAAAAUGUGUUUUGUAAUAUCAUAUCGUUUUAUAACGACAUUUAUCUGCUGUGUGCACAUAAACUUUUCUCAAGGACAUUUCCUUUCACUCGCGAUGCGGAACAGACGAGGACGUCAUUUAUUUUCUAUAUGGGAAAUCGUAAAAGAAGGUUAAGUGUGUUUAAUAACAUCAUGUUGAUUUAUAGCGAUAUUUAUGUGCUUUACUCCAAAACUUUUUUCUCAAGAGAGAUAUUUUCUUCCACUCACGAUGGGGAGAAUACGGGGAAUCUGUUUCUUAUCAAAGGGAAACACCAUAAGUAACGUUAAGUGUUUUUACCUCGUUUACAUGUAUUUUAUAAGAUGAAUUUACUUUAUGAUGAUAUUUAAAUGCUGUGCGCGCCUAAACUAGCCUAACGGUUCCUCACAGAUUUGAAUCGCUGUACAGUGCAGACGCGGUUAGAAAAAGUAAAGACCAGAAAGAGAUAUUUUCUUUCACUCGCGAAACGGAGUAGACGAGGAAGUUGGUUUUAGGAAAACACCGAAAACAGAGCCCUGCUUCAGCGCAAUGAGAUUAGCAUGGAAUUCAGGAAUUGCAACCUAUUUUCCAGUAAGUCGGACUUUCUUUUUACAACAAAAAUAUAUACAUUUACAGUGAGUUAAAUGCUUUUACUUAAAGUGUUAAAGUUUAAGUGGGAGUGGAUUUCUCACUUAGCUGGAAACUGCAGACAUCUUGUCGUCCUGAAAAAAAGAAAGAGACUACUUUCUCCUAGGAGGUCCAAACGCCAUUGGCACAGACUUUGUUCAGUGAUCAGUAACAUACAUUCAGCCAGGGCCGUCCUUAGUGGGGUGCAACUGGAGCGGUCGCACCGGGCCCCGCACUUGAGGGGUAAACGGACUGGAUGAGCCCUCCCUCCGCCAACCCGGGAACGCUCCCUACUUCACACCGGGCCCCGAAUCAGCUAAGUACGGCCCUGCAUUCAUGGUUGAUGGUAGUGAAUAAGAUGCUGUGGUUUAAGCAGAUAAAUGUAAGCACUAUAAACCUGAUUAAAUUGAGAAUACAUAUGGACCAAAUACGUUUUUUGUGCCUUUGCACUGAUUAGCUUUGAUAUUGUUUUAAUUGUUGUAAAGUAUGUUCUUUAUAUGCACUGAAAACACUGAAUGUGAAGACAUUUUAGUGCAGUGAAAAAGAGUUACAAUGUUUCAAUUAAAAUAAAUAAGUGC